GUGGGGAAUUUUCCGCAAUGGGCGAAAGCCUGACGGAGCAAUACCGCGUGAGGGACGAAGGCUUUUGGGUCGUAAACCUCUUUUCUCAAGGAAGAUGAUGACGGUACUUGAGGAAUAAGCAUCGGCUAACUCUGUGCCAGCAGCCGCGGUAAUACAGAGGAUGCAAGCGUUAUCCGGAAUGAUUGGGCGUAAAGCGUCCGCAGGUGGUUUAAUAAGUCUGCUGUUAAAGCGUGUGGCUCAACCACAUACAGGCAGUGGAAACUAUUCGACUAGAGUAUGUUAGGGGUAGAGGGAAUUCCCAGUGUAGCGGUGAAAUGCGUAGAGAUUGGGAAGAACACCGGUGGCGAAAGCGCUCUGCUAGGACAAUACUGACACUGAGGGACGAAAGCUAGGGGAGCGAAUGGGAUUAGAAACCCUUGUAGUCC
rnacentral:rRNA from 1 species